rnacentral:rRNA from 1 species
AUUGAACGCUGGCGGCAGGCCUAACACAUGCAAGUCGAGCGAGCGGCGGACGGGUGAGUAAUGUCUGGGAAACUGCCUGCUGGAGGGGGAUAACUACUGGAAACGGUAGCUAAUACCGCAUACCAUCAGAUGUGCCCAGAUGGGAUUAGCUAGUAGGUGGGGUAAGGGCUCACCUAGGCGACGAUCCCUAGCUGGUCUGAGAGGAUGACCAGCCAAACUGGAACUGAGACACGGCCCAGAGCCCUAGGGGGGGCAGCAGGGGGGAAUAUGGCACAAUGGGCGCAAGCCUGAUGCAGCCAUGCCGGGUGUAUGAAGAAGGCCGUCGGGUUGUAAAGUACUUUCAGCGGGGAGGCGUUACCCGCAGAAGAAGCACCGGCUAACUCCGUGCCAGCAGCCGCGGUAAAC